AGUAUUGAGCUGUCCCGCGUGACGGCAGGACGUGUUUCUCUCUCUCUGCUAUAUUGGCGCGCUUUCGCACUUUUUCCGCUUUUAUUUUACUUUUCGCCACCCAGUGCUCUCUUUAUUCGAAUCUCUAAAAGGCUUCUAGCGUUUCCUAAUGUAUAUUACCUCGGCCGGCACAUAGCUAAAGCCUUGAAUAGAAGUCAGCUGUUCUCUUUCGAGGACCUAGAUCCAACGAGAGAACCUGAAAACAGUUUUGAACUGUGUAAGCCGGUUUGGCCAGAGUGACAACUUGUUCCGUGGAAUGUAAACAAAGCUGUUUGCGGGAUUUGCGAAGAAAUUCCUCCCAAGCCCAGAGUGUGAUUGUGAAGUGACUCCGCCUAGCGGAAAUAAAUUACCCCGUGUGGAGAGGGAACGACCCACUGAGCUGAACCAAGCCAUGCCAAGUGUCCGCGUUUAUGUGUACUAUGGAUUCUGAUUACUGUUAUUAUCGUUUCAAUUAGAUCAAUUUGCGCGCCGACUUCUGUUAUAUUGUUGGAUCUUGUUGUUGUAGCUGCUGCCGUUGCCUGUCCCAGUGUCAGUGUGUUAUAUUUGCCCUCGCCGUAUAUCUCCCUUACAAUUCUCGGGGACCCGGCCCAGCCAAUAAGUCAGUGUUGUGAUGCAUAAUUGAAAAAUUGGUACAAGUAUGUUUACCUAAAAACCAUAUACAAGCACAAGCAAGAGCGCGAACAAAUCUAUCGGCGCACCGUAAAGCAGUCUACCGGCGGCAACAAGCACGUUGUGUGAGAAAAUCUCCGAACAAUUCGGCAUUUGGAGGUUGAAGCAGCAGCAGACCCUUUGCCGGACUGUGUUUACCGAUCUGGCCAAGGUAAAAGCUCCGGAGUACUCCAGUUGAGGUUCAGUGCAGUUAAUAACAAUAAUCUACUACCAGCCGGUUAGUGCUGCAUUUAGUGCAGACCCAUUCAAGUGCAGUGUUUAAGAGCCAUUUUUCUCUCUCAAGUUCUCGACGACCUGGCGUUGGGCUGCCGUAUUGUCUGAGCCGAACUAAGCCGGGGAAAGCUUGUAGUUACUACUGUGUGUAUCCAUCCAUGCCGAACUGCUACCGUUUGGACGGCGAACGCAUUGAGUGUUAACGUGCUGACAUUGUACCUAGUACGUUACUUUGUUGAGUUUGAAUGUUUUGACGCACGCAAGGUUUCGGAAGCGCCACCGUCGUUGUUGUCGGCGGCAUCCUGUGAAGGGGCGAAGCGAACAGUUGCAUUUCGGUCAGCUGUGUGGCACCGACGGAUGAUGUGCUGAAUGCGCGAGAGGCAGCGUACGCAGAAUGGAAAGGAUAUGAUGAUAUACAGAUUCCCAUAGAAAAAACACGAUGCCAACAUAAUCAACGCAAGAUAUUAACCAAAUUCGUCCAGUUGAUUGGAAUCUUCAACCCAUGAAGCCUUAUGCAUAACAAUGCCAUUAAGUGAGCUAAACUCUCUAUCAAAACUCUUCACCGUAGCAAAAAAUCUGUCCAACACCGUUUGAGUAAUGUGAUUACUUGAAAUUUAACAGAAGCUCAUAGUGAACAGCACUCAUAUAUUGAGCAGCACAAAAAGCAGAAAAUCAACAAACAAAUAGCAAAAAAA